CAGCCCACUACACCGGGUCCACCCACCUCACCUCACAUCCUCUUCCUCUCGUCUCGCCCCCGGCCCCCUUCUUCUCUCCUCUUCGCGGCGACUGCGAAAGCCAUCUAGUAUCUCCUUCCUUCCUUCUCGACUCGCCUACGCCAACGCCAACGCGAGAUAUUUUUGGGCUCCUCGGCCUCGGCGUCCUCGCUCGCCGUCGCGCCCGCGCGGGCAGGGCACGGGAGGGAAGCCAUGAACUGCCUCCAGAACCUGCUCAAGGAGCCUCCAAUCGUGGGAUCCAGGUCCAUGAGGCGGCCCUCGCCGCUCAAUCUGACGAUGGUUCGUGGCGGGAGUCGCCGAUCAAACACUGUCAAAACCGCAUCCGGGGCGUCUACUUCUAGCGCCGAGAGUGGCGCAGUGGAGGCGGGCACGGAGAAAUCCGAUACGUACAGCACCAACAUGACGCAAGCUAUGGGAGCAGUGUUGACGUAUAGACAUGAGCUUGGAAUGAACUACAAUUUCAUACGCCCAGACUUGAUCGUGGGCUCCUGCUUACAGAGCCCACUUGAUGUUGAUAAACUUAGGGACAUUGGUGUAAAAACAGUAUUCUGCCUGCAGCAAGAUCCAGACCUUGAAUAUUUUGGAGUUGACAUCUGUGCCAUUCAAGAAUAUUGUCUACAAUGUAAAGAUAUAGAGCACUGUCGUGCCGAAAUUAGGGAUUUUGAUGCUUUUGAUUUGCGAUUGAGGCUUCCUGCUGUGAUUAGCAAACUGCACAAGCUUGUCAACCAUAAUGGUGGGGUAACAUAUAUACACUGUACCGCUGGACUUGGGAGAGCUCCUGCUGUGACAUUGGCGUAUAUGUUCUGGAUUCUUGGCUACAGUCUUAAUGAAGGGCAUCAGCUACUACAGAGUAAACGAGCUUGCUUUCCAAAGUUGGAAGCCAUUAAAUUGGCUACUGCUGACAUUCUGACAGGCUUAUCAAAGAAUUCCAUCACUUUGAAGUGGGAAAGUGAUAGUUGUUCUUCUGUUGAAAUUUCUGGGCUUGAUGUCGGGUGGGGACAGAUAAUUCCUUUGACAUACAACAAGGAGAAAAGAGCUUGGUAUCUUGAGAGGGAGUUGCCUGAAGGUAUGAAUACAAAUAUAUAGUGGACGGCAAAUGGGUGUGCAAUGACAAUGAGAAGAAGACCAAAGCAAAUGCUGAUGGCCAUGUGAAUAACUACGUCCAGGUCUCCAGGGAUGGUACCAGCGAUGAAGAGAGAGAAUUAAGGGAGCGUUUGACUGGUCAAAAUCCCGAUCUUACGAAGGAGGAAAGGCUGAUGAUUAGAGAGUACUUGGAACAGUACGUUGAGCGAUAGAGGUAAGUUGAAAUUUAUUCAGACUACUAGUAUUGUGUUGCAGGGGUUUUGCUGAUUAUGCUUAUGCAUGAACAUAUCAUUCGGAUUGGACUGCACUAAUCUGCAGAAUUGACAUUGGAUUAUCGACUCGUUUUGGGCUCGCUGUGCAACAGGGAAGACCUGCUGAUGAUCAACAACAGAUCAUGGAGCUUCCCGAUGAACAGAGUAGACGGAGCUUCCAAAUGUUAUCAUCUUGGGUCGCCAUGUCAAUACUAUUAAUUAAUUAGUUCAAAUCAACCCUGUAAAUGGUUUACUCAUGAGUAAUCACGAGUCGUCGCUGUAAACAAACGAUGCAUAAGACGAGCAAUAUGCGUUUGCUCAUAGUAACACUGUGGCCGUAUAACAAGGUAGAAUUAAUAAGGCUGUUAGACUGUAAUAAGGGCUGUUAAUUAACAUAACAGGUUACAAAGUUGUGUAACAUAUAUGUUAUUAAUGCUGACUCGUGAAUGGAAGACAAAUUAAUUUUGUUUGGGACAGUUGCUCCCGAAGUGA